GAAGAAACGUCAAUGGAAGGACCCCAAGCGGGGUCGCACAGCAGGCAGGAGGGCAUGUAAGGAGAAGGAAUGACAUUGGACAAUCAGGGCAGCCAACAUUCUCACAACCCGAAGCUUGCGGGAAAGCAUGCAUGCAGCUGCUGUAAGACUACAGGGACCAUUGUGGCUUCAGUGCCUCCCCCCACUGUGAGUGUUAUGACCUCUAUACACAAGCACACACACACAAUUUGGCUAAAUUGUAAAUGCAGUAUGAUUGUGUGUUGCAGUUUUUACUAAGGUGACCACACACACACACACACACACACACACACACACACACACACACACACACACACACACACACACACACACACACACACACACACACACACACACACACACACACACACACACAC